UACCAGCACCCCGAGUGGUCGGGACGUUUAUUGGGCCUAAAGCAUCCGUAGCCGGUCCUACAAGUCUUCCGUUAAAUCCACCUGCUUAACAGAUGGGCUGCGGAAGAUACUAUAGGGCUAGGAGGCGGGAGAGGCAAGCGGUACUCAGUGGGUAGGGGUAAAAUCCUCUGAUCCAUUGAAGACCACCAGUGGCGAAGGCGGCUUGCCAGAACGCGCUCGACGGUGAGGGAUGAAAGCUGGGGGGAGCAAACCGG
rnacentral:rRNA from 1 species